rnacentral:rRNA from 1 species
UACACACCGCCCGUCACACCAUGGGAGUUGGUUUCACCCGAAGGCAGUGCGCUAACCGCAAGGACGCAGCCGACCACGGUAAGGUCAGCGACUGGGGUG